rnacentral:rRNA from 1 species
CCCUUAGAUGUUCUGGGCUGCACGCGCGCUACACUGAUGCACUCAACGAGUUUACGACCUUGCCCGAUAGGGUUGGGUAAUCUUUUUAAAAUGCAUCGUGAUGGGGAUAGAUUAUUGCAAUUAUUAAUCUUCAACGAGGAAUUCCUAGUAAGCGCGAGUCAUCAGCUCGUGCUGAUUACGUCCCUGCCCUUUGUACACACCGCCCGUCGCUCUUACCGAUUGAGUGCUCAGGUGAAUAAUUCGGACUGCAGCAAUGUUUGGAUCCCGAACGUUGCAGCGGAAAGUUUAGUGAACCUUAUCACUUAGAGGAAGGAGAAGUCGUAACA